rnacentral:rRNA from 1 species
AUGAAAACCAAUACAACUCCUGGCCCAUAUGUCUUACCAGUAAUCUUUUAGAAACAUUUUUGGGAGAUGGUUAAAGAGAUGGUCAAAAGAAUGCUUGAUAGCCUGCAUGCUGAGGAGUUGCAAUUUAGAAGACUUAAUUAUGAGGUGGUUACUCUGAUUCCUAAAACGAAAGAUGCUACAACUAUCAAGCAAUAUCGGCCAAUAUGUUUAUAUUAUGUUUGUUAGAAAAUUGUGACUAAAGUACUGACAAAUAGGCUUGAGAGAGUUGCAGAUAAGGUGGUGAGCAAGAGUCAGAUGACAUUUAUGAAAAACGGAAAUAUUUUAGAUGGGGUGGUCACUAUCCAUGAGGUGUUUCAUGAGCUUAGGAGGACUAAACAAGAGGGGGUCAUACUAAAGCUAGACUUUGAAAAAGCAUAUGACAGGGUCAAUUGGGAUUUUCUACAAGAGGUUUUGCUUAAAAAGGGUUUUCUUUAG